rnacentral:rRNA from 1 species
GUAGGGAAUCUUCCACAAUGGGCGAAAGCCUGAUGGAGCAACGCCGCGUGAGUGAAGAAGGUUUUCGGAUCGUAAAGCUCUGUUGUUGGUGAAGAAGGAUAGAGGUAGUAACUGGCCCCUAUUUGACGGUAAUCAACCAGAAAGUCACGGCUAACUACGUGCCAGCAGCCGCGGUAAUACGUAGGUGGCAAGCGUUGUCCGGAUUUAUUGGGCGUAAAGCGAGCGCAGGCGGAAAGAUAAGUCUGAUGUGAAAGCCCCCGGCUUAACCGAGGAAUUGCAUCGGAAACUGUGUUUCUUGAGUGCAGAAGAGGAGAGUGGAACUCCAUGUGUAGCGGUGGAAUGCGUAGAUAUAUGGAAGAACACCAGUGGCGAAGGCGGCUCUCUGGUCUGUAACUGACGCUGAGGCUCGAAAGCAUGGGUAGCGAACAGGAUUAGAUACCCUAGUAGUCC